ACUGAACGCUGGCGGCAUGCCUUACACAUGCAAGUCGAACGGUCCAUGGUCUUCGGAUGCUGACGAGUGGCGAACGGGUGAGUAAUACAUCGGAACGUGCCUAGUAGUGGGGGAUAACUACUCGAAAGAGUGGCUAAUACCGCAUGAGAUCUACGGAUGAAAGCAGGGGAUCGCAAGACCUUGUGCUACUAGAGCGGCCGAUGGCAGAGUAGGUAGUUGGUGGGAUAAAAGCUUACCAAGCCGACGAUCUGUAGCUGGUCUGAGAGGACGAUCAGCCAAACUGGGACUGAGACACGGCCCAGACUCCUACGGGAGGCAGCAGUGGGGAAUUUUGGACAAUGGGCGCAAGCCUGACCCAGCAAUGCCGCGUGCAGGAUGAAGGCCUUCGGGUUGUAAACUGCUUUUGUACGGAACGAAAAGCCCCGGGUUAAUACCCUGGGGUCAUGACGGUACCGUAAGAAUAAGCACCGGCUAACUACGUGCCAGCCGCCGCCGUAA
rnacentral:rRNA from 1 species